rnacentral:rRNA from 1 species
UACGGAGGGUGCAAGCGUUAUCCGGAUUCACUUGGUUUAAAGGGUGCGUAGGCGGGCAGUUAAGUCAGUGGUGAAAUCUCCGGGCUCAACCCGGAAACUGCCGUUGAUACUAUCUGUCUUGAAUAACGUUGAGGUGAGCGGAAUAUGUCAUGUAGCGGUGAAAUGCUGAGAUAUGACAUAGAACAACGAUUGCGAAGGCAGCUCACUAAACGCUCAUUGACGCCGAGGCACGAAAGCGUGGGGAUCAAACAGG